AGAGUUUGAUCAUGGCUCAGAAUCAACGCUGGCGGCGUGCCUAACACAUGCAAGUCGAACGCGAAAGUCCCGCAAGGGAUCAGUAGAGUGGCAAACGGGUGAGUAACGCGUGGGUGACCUGCCUUCGAGCGGGGGAUAACGUUCCGAAAGGGACGCUAAUACCGCAUAUCAUCCUGUCUUUGAAGAGAUGGAGAUCAAAG
rnacentral:rRNA from 1 species